UACGAAGGGUGCAAGCGUUAAUCGGAAUUACUGGGCGUAAAGCGUGCGUAGGCGGUCUUUUAAGUCUGCUGUGAAAUCCCCGGGCUCAACCUGGGAAUGGCAGUGGAUACUGGAAGGCUAGAGUGUGUCAGAGGAUGGUGGAAUUCCCGGUGUAGCGGUGAAAUGCGUAGAGAUCGGGAGGAACAUCAGUGGCGAAGGCGGCCAUCUGGGACAACACUGACGCUGAGGCACGAAAGCGUGGGGAGCAAACAGG
rnacentral:rRNA from 1 species